AAGAAGGAAAAUGACUCAAUAAACUCAAAAACGAAAAAU
rnacentral:sRNA from 1 species